GUAAUGCCCGGUUGUUAGUCCUCAUGGCUCAUCGUUGUUCUUGAUGGUGAUCCCACCAUUGUCCAUUCCGUUCUCAUUUUUUUUUGGUUGUGACUUUGGGGGAGAUUUCUGUCCCAGGUUGUGAUGGAGGCCCCAUUCUUUGAUCUUCGCCAUUCCAGCUUCUGGUUCUAGGAUUAUCUCCGUUUUACCUCUGUGCCAUAUCAGUAGCUUAGUUGGGUAUCCCCAUCUGUACGGUAUUUGGUGGUUGCGUAGGGCUUUGGUUAUGUUGAUGAAUUAUCUUCUUCUUGCCAUGGUUGCUGCUGACAAGUCGGUAUAUAUGCUGAUGUUUUGGUAUGGGUCUGGAAGUUGCUCCAGUUUUCUCAUCGUGUUUAGGAUUGUUUCUUUAGAUUUAUAAUAGUGAAAGCGAACUAUCACAUCUCUCGGUGUGUCCGCUGUGAAUCUUGCCGGUCUGGGUAGUCUGUGUACCCUGUCGAAUGUCCAAGAGGCAGCCUCGAGAUGCAGUACCAGUUUAGUGCAUUGGGCCUGUAAGUGUUGUGGAAGAACUUCUGCUGAUAUUGUAUCUGGUAUUCCCCGAAAUCGGAGAUUAUUUCUGCGAGAUCUGUCUUCCAUAUCUGCCACUUUCAUUUUUAGGGCUGCCUGGUUGCUUUCUAAUUUCUGUAGUUGAGCCACCAUAUCGUUG